UUUUAUUUAGACGUUUUAAAAAAUACUAUUGAAGCGAUUGCUGAAAAAACGGGUUAUGGCCGUGAGGAACAUUUUUUGAGUCUUAUUUUUCAUUAAUCUUUGUAGUUUAUUUUUGUUUGAAAGUUUUUUGGUGAAUUUACAUAAGAA